GCCUGAGUGGCUCAGCAGUUGAGCAUCUGCCUUUGGCUCAGGGUGUGAUCUUGGGGUCCUGGGUUCGAGUCCUGCCUCAGGCU
rnacentral:tRNA from 1 species